GGCCGGAUGCCAGAGUGGACUAAUGGAGCGGAUUGCAAAUCCGUUAUUCGUGGGUUCGAAUCCCACUCCGGCCU
rnacentral:tRNA from 1 species